AAAAGCGAAAAAAGGGCGUACGGUGGAUGCCUUGGCGCUAGAAGCCGAUGAAGGACGUGGCAGGCUACGAUAAGCUUUGGGAAGGUGCCAACAACCGUUAUUACCCAGAGAUUUCCGAAUUGGAUAACCAGAUAUUGGUAAUGCAAUAUCAUCACACUGAUUUAUUAGUGUGAGGGCGACGCAGGGAACUGAAACCUCUUAGUACCUGCAGGAAAAGAGAACAAAUUAGUGAUUCCCCUAGUAGUGGCGAGCGAAAAGGGAAGAGCCUAAACUUCUGUUGUGUAAGAGGGAUUUGAAACAUGAUUCGCGUUGCGAUGAUUGUGGAAAUGAACUCGUAGGCUGCGGCUCGUGCAGCAGAAGGGUUGUAGGACUAUCCGACUUGUCCGCAAACAAGUCAAGAAGUUACAAAACUUAUUUCUAACCGAAUAUAUAUGGAAAGAUAAACCAUAGAGCAUGAAAGUUGCGUAGGUUAAAGGGAUGAGUCUUCUGAUAGUAUCCUGAGUACCACGGGGCACGUGAGACCUUGUGGGAAGCUGCCAGUGCCAUCUGGCAAGGCUAAAUACUUCUAGCGACCGAUAGUGAACUAGUACCGUGAGGGAAAGGUGAAAAUUACCGCUGUUAGCGGAGUGAAAUAGAACUGAAACCGUAUGCUUACAAACAGUCGGAGCUGUGUAUCUUUAUUGAUACAUGGUGACGGCGUGCCUAUUGAAGAAUGACCCAGCGAGUUAGUAUGUGUGGCAAGGUUAACCGCGCCAUCAGAGAUUAAUUGCACGAGAAUUCUGUGUAUAUUGAUAACUGUUGGCGCGGGGAGCCAGAGCGAAAGCGAGUCUUAAAAGGGCGUCGUAGUCGCAUGUACUAGACCCGAAACCAGGUGAUCUAACCAUGUCCAGGGUGAAGUCUAUCGAAAGAUAGAUGGAGGCCCGAACUCGUUAAUGCUGCAAAAUUAUGAGAUGAGGUGUGGUUAGCGGUAACAUGCCAAUCGAACCUGGAGAUAGCUGGUUCUCCCCGAAAUAGCUUUAGGGCUAGCGCAAUGAUUUAAACUUUGGGGGUAGAGCACUGAUUGGGUUUUGGGCCCGAAAGGGUACCAAAUCUUGUCAAACUCCGAAUACCAUUGUGUACAUCAUUGUAGUUAGAGCUAGAGGGCUAAGCCUCUAUGCUCGAAAGGGAAACAGCCCAGACCGUCAGAUAAGGACCCAAAAUUCCAUCUUAGUGGGAAAGGUAGUGAAGCUUCUUAAACAGCUAGGAGGUUGGCUUAGAGGCAGCCAUCCUUUAAAAAGUGCGUAAAAGCUUACUAGUCAAGAGACUUCGCGCCGAAAAUUUAACGGGGCUGAAGAUGGAUUCCGAUGCUGCGGACGGUAAUUACUUAGGUAAUUAUUAGUGGUAGGGGAGCGUUCUGUACGUGUCUACGUGAGUAGACCAUCGCGGUGAAGGUAACCUGUGAAGAGUUACUGGAGCGUACAGAAGUGAGAAUGCUGGGAUGAGUAGCGUAAAGUGGGUGAAAACCCCGCUCGCCGAAUGUUCAAGGUUUCCAUGGCAAUGUCAGUCAACCAUGGGUUAGUCGGUCCUAAGUUGAGGCUGAAAGGCGUAGACGAUGGACAACAGGUUAAUAUUCCUGUACUGGCAAUAAGAUGCGAAGGAGUCAGGUUGUUGAAAAGGCAGGCUUCUUCUUGGUUAUAGAAGUGUAAAUAGUAAACUAGUAGUUCUAGGUAAAUCCGGAAUUAUGUUUUCAUCUAGGUGAAUGAAAGUGAGCUAUGAUGCAAAGGCGACCUACGGGAAGCCAAUCUGUCGUAUUUAAUGGCCCAGGAAAAACUUCUAGCUUUAAUUGUUCUUCGGAACUUUUAAGACUUAUUGUCAACCGUACCGCAAACCGACACAGGUGAACUGGUGUAAAAGCACCAAGGCGUACGAGUGAGGCGUUGUUAAGGAACUAGGCAAAUUUACCCCGUAACUUUGGAAGAAGGGGGGCCAUACAACAUAUUUCUUUUGAAUUGUGUUGAUUAUGGCGGCACAGAAUAGGGGGGGACGACUAGUUAUCAAAACUACAGGUGCCUGCAAACACGUAAGUGGAUGUAUAGGGGCUGACACCUGCCCAAUGCCAGAAGGUUAAAGAAGUUGGUUAUCCUACUUAGGUAGGAGAAGCUGAUGACUGAAGCCCUGGUGAAUGGCGGCUGUAACUAUAACGGUCCUAAGGUAGCGUAAUACCUCGCCACUUAAUUAGUGGCUUGCUUGAAAGGUGUAACGAUCCUCCUACUGUCUCGACAACGCGCUCGGUGAAAUUGAAAUGGCUGUGAAGAUGCGGCCUACCCGUAUCAGGACAAAAAGACCCCGUGGAGCUUUACUGCAACUUUACAUUGACUCAAGGUAAGAGAUGAAGAGAAUAGGUGGGAGACUGUGAACUCGACUCGUUAGGGUUGGGGGAGUCGUUAGUGGAAUACCACCCUUUUCUUGCUUUGUGUCUAAGUAUAUAAAUUAUCUUUAUGUAUGACAGUGUAUGGUGGGCAGUUUGACUGGGGCGGUUGCUUGCGAAAGAGUAACGCAAGCGCACAUAAGGUUGACUCAAUCCGGAUGGAAAUCGGAUGAAGAGUGCAUAGGUAUAAGUCAGCUUUACUGCGAGGGGGACACCCCGAGCAGUUGGGAAACCAGGUCUAAGUGAUCCUAUGGUGGAACAUGGUAUCGCCAUUGACUAACGAAGAUAAGCUACCCCGGGGAUAACAGGCUAGUCGCGCCCGAUAGUCCAUAUUGACGGCGCGGAUCGGCACCUCGAUGUCGGCUCGUCACAUCCUGGGUGUGGAACAGCACCCAAGGGUUGGACUGUUCGUCCAUUAAAGUGGCACGUGAGCUGGGUUCAGACCGGCGUGAGCCAGGUCGGUCUCUAUCCGAUACGGGCGAUGCAUAUUUGAGGGACUUGACUCCCAGUACGAAAGGAUCGGAGUGUGGUAACCUCUAGUGAAUCAGCUGUCCUACCAAGGGCAUUGCUGAGUAGCUACGUUGCUAUUGGAUAAGCACUGAAAGCAUAUAAGUGCGAAGCCUAUCCCAAGAUUAAGUAUGCUUAUUCGCCAUGAGUGAAUGAGAGGUCUGUAGUAGAUUACUACGUUGAUAGGCUCUAGGUGUAAUUAUAGUAAUAUAUUUAGCCGAGGAGUACUAAUCGACCAAAAGCUUUUUUAA
rnacentral:rRNA from 1 species